GAUGAACGCUGGCGGCGUGCCUAAUACAUGCAAGUCGAGCGAACAGACGAGGAGCUUGCUCCUCUGACGUUAGCGGCGGACGGGUGAGUAACACGUGGAUAACCUACCUAUAAGACUGGGAUAACUUCGGGAAACCGGAGCUAAUACCGGAUAAUAUAUUGAACCGCAUGGUUCAAUAGUGAAAGACGGUUUUGCUGUCACUUAUAGAUGGAUCCGCGCCGCAUUAGCUAGUUGGUAAGGUAACGGCUUACCAAGGCAACGAUGCGUAGCCGACCUGAGAGGAUGAUCGGCCACACUGGAACUGAGACACGGUCCAGACUCCUACGGGAGGCAGCAGUAGGGAAUCUUCCGCAAUGGGCGAAAGCCUGACGGAGCAACGCCGCGUGAGUGAUGAAGGUCUUCGGAUCGUAAAACUCUGUUAUUAGGGAAGAACAAAUGUGUAAGUAACUAUGCACGUCUUGACGGUACCUAAUCAGAAAGCCCCGGCUAACUACGUG
rnacentral:rRNA from 1 species